AGUUGAUCCUGGCUCAGAUUGAACGCUGGCGGCAUGCCUUACACAUGCAAGUCGAACGGCAGCACGGGAGCUUGCUCCUGGUGGCGAGUGGCGAACGGGUGAGUAAUACAUCGGAACGUACCCUGAAUGGGGGAUAACGUAGCGAAAGUUACGCUAAUACCGCAUAUUCUGUGAGCAGGAAAGAGGGGGAUCGCAAGACCUCUUGCUUUAGGAGCGGCCGAUGUCGGAUUAGCUAGUUGGUGAGGUAAAGGCUCACCAAGGCGACGAUCCGUAGCGGGUCUGGAGGAUGAUCCGCCACACUGGGACUGAGACACGGCCCAGACUCCUACGGGAGGCAGCAGUGGGGAAUUUUGGACAAUGGGCGCAAGCCUGAUCCAGCCAUGCCGCGUGAGUGAAGAAGGCCUUCGGGUUGUAAAGCUCUUUCGGUGGGGAAGAAAUUGCUUCGGUUAAUACCUGGAGUAGAUGACGGUACCCGCAUAAGAAGCACCGGCUAACUACGUG
rnacentral:rRNA from 1 species